UGGGGAAUCUUGCGCAAUGGGAGCAAUCCUGACGCAGCAACGCCGCGUGGGUGAUGAAGGUCUUCGGAUCGUAAAGCCCUGUCGGAGGGGAAGAUGCUUUCGCAUGCUAAUAGUAUGCGGAGGUGACGGUACCCUCAAAGGAAGCACCGGCUAACUCUGUGCCAGCAGCCGCGGUAAUACAGAGGGUGCAAGCGUUGUUCGGAAUUAUUGGGCGUAAAGGGAGUGUAGGCGGUUUGUUAAGUCUUCUGUGAAAUCUACGGGCUUAGCCUGUAAAGUGCAGAGGAAACUGGCAAGCUUGAGUGUCGGAGAGGGUAGUGGAAUUCCCGGUGUAGAGGUGAAAUUCGUAGAGAUCGGGAGGAACACCAGUGGCGAAGGCGACUACCUGGCUGACAACUGACGCUGAGACUCGAAAGCAUGGGGAGCAAACAGGAUUAGAUACCCCCGUAGUCC
rnacentral:rRNA from 1 species